CAUGCCCAUGCAAAUGUCAAGUGGGGUAGGGUAACCCUCUUUCAUAGUUGUUUGCUGUAGAGUUUCUAGGAUUAGACAAUCAGCCUCAGCUACCCCACUAAGUGUUGCUCUCACUUGUCUGAGAGGAAGAAGACUCAAAACUUUGGAUUUAUUUUUACGUGUGACGUUCUAGUUUGGUACACCAGAAACAAAGGUAGACUUCUACUGC
rnacentral:lncRNA from 1 species